GCCGGGCGUGGUGGCGUGUGCCUGUAAUCCCAGCUACCCGGGAGGCUGAGGCAGGAGAAUCGCUGGAACCCAGGAGGCAGAGGCUGCAGUGAGCCAAGAUUGUGCCACUGCACUUCUGCCUGGGCAACAGAGCAAGACUCCGUCUCAA
rnacentral:SRP_RNA from 2 species